rnacentral:rRNA from 1 species
GGGGAAUCUUGGACAAUGGGGGCAACCCUGAUCCAGCGAUGCCGCGUGAGCGAAGAAGGCCUUAGGGUUGUAAAGCUCUUUCGCCCGCGACGAUGAUGACGGUAGCGGGAGAAGAAGCCCCGGCUAACUCCGUGCCAGCAGCCGCGGUAAUACGGAGGGGGCUAGCGUUGUCCGGAAUUACUGGGCGUAAAGCGCGCGUAGGCGGUCCACCAAGUCGGGGGUGAAAGCCCGGGGCUCAACCCCGGAAUGUCCUCCGAGACUGUUGGACUGGAGUUCGGGAGAGGAGAGCGGAAUUCCCAGUGUAGAGGUGAAAUUCGUAGAUAUUGGGAAGAACACCGGUGGCGAAGGCGGCUCUCUGGCCCGCAACUGACGCUGAGGCGCGAAAGCGUGGGGAGCAAACA